CAGUAGCCGCGGGAAUACGAAGGGUGCAAGCGUUACUCGGAAUUACUGGGCGUAAAGCGUGCGUAGGUGGUGGUUUAAGUCCGUUGUGAAAGCCCUGGGCUCAACCUGGGAAUUGCAGUGGAUACUGGGUCACUAGAGUGUGGUAGAGGAUAGUGGAAUUUCCGGUGUAGCAGUGAAAUGCGUAGAGAUCGGAAGGAACAUCUGUGGCGAAGGCGACUAUCUGGGCCAACACUGACACUGAGGCACGAAAGCGUGGGGAGCAAACAGGAUUAGAUACCCCUGUAGUCCCUGUCUCUUAUAC
rnacentral:rRNA from 1 species